UUACGGUCAAAUCACGCUGAAACACCGGUUCUCGUACGAUCACCGAAGUUAAGCAUCGUAGAGCCAGGUCAGUACUUGGAUGGGGGACCGCUUGGGAACACCAGGUACUGUAAG
rnacentral:rRNA from 1 species